rnacentral:rRNA from 1 species
GACGAACGCUGGCGGCGUGCCUAAUACAUGCAAGUAGAACGCUGAAGAGAGGAGCUUGCUCUUCUUGGAUGAGUUGCGAACGGGUGAGUAACGCGUAGGUAACCUGCCUGGUAGCGGGGGAUAACUAUUGGAAACGAUAGCUAAUACCGCAUAAUAGUAGAUGUUGCAUGACAUUUGCUUAAAAGGUGCAAUUGCAUCACUACCAGAUGGACCUGCGUUGUAUUAGCUAGUUGGUGAGGUAACGGCUCACCAAGGCAACGAUACAUAGCCGACCUGAGAGGGUGAUCGGCCACACUGGGACUGAGACACGGCCCAGACUCCUACGGGAGGCAGCAGUAGGGAAUCUUCGGCAAUGGACGGAAGUCUGACCGAGCAACGCCGCGUGAGUGAAGAAGGUUUUCGGAUCGUAAAGCUCUGUUGUAAGAGAAGAACGA